rnacentral:rRNA from 1 species
GACGAACGCUGGCGGCGUGCUUAACACAUGCAAGUCGAGCGGAAAACUUCGGUUUUCAGCGGCGGACGGGUGAGUAACACGUGGGCAACCUGCCUCACAAUGAGGGAUAGCCUUCCGAAAGGAAGAUUAAUACCUCAUAACACAAGAGAAACGCAUGUUUCUCUUGCCAACGAAUUUCGUUGUGAGAUGGGCCCGCGGCGCAUUAGCUUGUUGGUGAGGUAACGGCUCACCAAGGCUUCGAUGCGUAGCCGACCUGAGAGGGUGAUCGGCCACAUUGGAACUGAGACACGGUCCAGACUCCUACGGGAGGCAGCAGUGGGGAAUAUUGCACAAUGGAGGAAACUCUGAUGCAGCAACGCCGCGUGAGUGAUGAAGGUCUUCGGAUUGUAAAACUCUGUCUUCUGGGACGAUAAUGACGGUACCAGAGGAGGAAGCCACGGCUAACUACGUGCCAGCCGCCGCGGUAA